rnacentral:rRNA from 1 species
ACACGUGCUACAAUGGGGCGUACAGAGAGUUGCGAUACCGCGAGGUGGAGCCAAUCUCAUAAAGCGUCUCUCAGUUCGGAUUGAAGUCUGCAACUCGACUUCAUGAAGCUGGAAUCACUAGUAAUCGUAGAUCAGCAAUGCUACGGUGAAUACGUUCCCGGGUCUUGUACUCACCGCCCGUCACACCAUGGGAGUUGAUUUCACCCGAAAUUGGGAAGCUAACCUUCGGGAGGCUACCACUUACGGUGGAAUUAGCGACUGGGGUGAAGUCGUAACAAGGUAACC